AAGAAAUUCUUUAGUGUUAUGAGCAACUCAAUUUUCAUCUUAUCUAUCCAAACGCUAUUUUUCUUAUUCUCGGGAACAACUCAAUUUUUAUCCAAAUGCAAAAUUGGUUUAGUUCUUGCUUAUACUUGAAUUUAUAUUUAUCCCUGAAAUAGACAGUUCUUGCUUAUACCUGAACCAAACGAAGCCCUAGAGUUCCAUUUGGUUUAAUUUAUAAACCUACUUACAUCCUAC
rnacentral:lncRNA from 1 species